rnacentral:rRNA from 1 species
AGAUUGAACGCUGGCGGCAGGCCUAACACAUGCAAGUCGAGCGGCAGCACGGGUACUUGUACCUGGUGGCGAGCGGCGGACGGGUGAGUAAUGCCUAGGAAUCUGCCUGGUAGUGGGGGAUAACGCUCGGAAACGGACGCUAAUACCGCAUACGUCCUACGGGAGAAAGCAGGGGACCUUCGGGCCUUGCGCUUAUCAGAUGAGCCUAGGUCGGAUUAGCUAGUUGGUGGGGUAAUGGCUCACCAAGGCGACGAUCCGUAACUGGUCUGAGAGGAUGAUCAGUCACACUGG